CCUACGGGAGGCAGCAGUAAGGAAUAUUGGUCAAUGGACGCAAGUCUGAACCAGCCAUGCCGCGUGAAGGAUUAAGGUCCUCUGGAUUGUAAACUUCUUUUAUCUGGGACGAAAAAAGGCGAUUCUUCGUCACUUGACGGUACCAGAUGAAUAAGCACCGGCUAACUCCGUGCCAGCAGCCGCGGUAAUACGGAGGGUGCAAGCGUUAUCCGGAUUCACUGGGUUUAAAGGGUGCGUAGGCGGGCAGGUAAGUCAGUGGUGAAAUCCUAGAGCUUAACUCUAGAACUGCCAUUGAUACUAUCUGUCUUGAAUAUUGUGGAGGUAAGCGGAAUAUGUCAUGUAGCGGUGAAAUGCUUAGAUAUGACAUAGAACACCUAUUGCGAAGGCAGCUUACUACGCAUAUAUUGACGCUGAGGCACGAAAGCGUGGGGAUCAAACAGGAUUAGAUACCCUGGUAGUCCACGCCCUAAACGAUGAUUACUCGACAUUUGUGAUACACUAUAAGUGUUNUGAGNGAAGANAUAAGUAAUACCACCGUGGAGUACGACCGCGAGUUAGUAACGUUAAAGUAGUAGUAGAGGCGUUAGAGAGNGCGACGGACGACGACGAGGGAGGAGG
rnacentral:rRNA from 1 species